AUCUGGUGAGAACCGCCCCUUAAGAUGAGAACUAAUCUCAGCCAUCGAUCACAUCAAUCCAACGGUCUUUAUCUUAACCGACCAAGUCAAAAUAUUAAGGGUAAUAUAGAAUUUCGUGUCUUUGAAUGACAUCCUCUCUCAACCUGAUUUUCAUAUUUUCUUUCUCGCUCUUCCUUCCUUUUUCACUCUCCUCCUGCAAAUCCUCUCUCGCAAAUUUUCUCUCCCAUCAGUCCUCACGCAUCUCCAAUCAAGGCUUCAGCUUAAAAUUCAAUCCAUUAAUGACGUUUGCAGAUAUUUGGUGGCUGCAAGAUGCAAGCUGUGUUGCAGGCUGUUUGUUUUUCAGGGAGGGACAAUUGCUGACUUGCAGGUCAGUCAGGGGUGGUAUGUUGCCAUGAUUUAGAUCUUGGGCUGCUGUUCUGUUUUAUUUGGCUGUUGUUACAUAUUUUGUGUGUAUAAUUGUAUCAAUAACGUUACUGAGCUGAUUUCCACAAGUAAUCGGGGCCUUUACUAUUGAAUUAUUUUGAUUUACUUUUUUGGGGUUUUGCUUUACUUUUAUUUAUUCUAUUUAAAAAUACUAGCCUACUAGCUCAAUUGGUAGAGCAUUGUGCAAAUGCACGAAAGACCCGGGUUUGAAUCCCACGUAGGUUCGUUUACUUUUGAGUUACCUUUAUUUACUUUUGAGUCUAUUUUGUUUACUUUUGAGUUUAUAUUGUGACUAUUGUCUACUUUUUAGUUUAUAUUAUUUACUUCUUAGAUUUUUCGAA